UGGGGGAUAUUGCACAAUGGGCGAAAGCCUGAUGCAGCGACGCCGCGUGGGGGAUGAAGGCCUUCGGGUGGUAAACUUCUUUUGCUCUGAACAAGGCAUGCCUUUGGGGUGUGUUGAGUGUAGGGGUUGAUUAGCGCCGGCUAACUACGUGCCAGCAGCCGCGGUAAUACGUAGGGCGCGAGCGUUGUCCGGAAUUAUUGGGCGUAAAGGGCUUGUAGGUGGCUGGUUGCGUCUGUCGUGAAAGCUCAUGGCUUAACUGUGGGUUUGCGGUGGGUACGGGCUGGCUUGAGUGCAGUAGGGGAGGCUGGAAUUCCUGGUGUAGCGGUGGAAUGCGCAGAUAUCAGGAGGAAUACCGGUGGCGAAGGCGGGUCUCUGGGCUGUUACUGACGCUGAGGAGCGAAAGCGUGGGGAGCGAACAGG
rnacentral:rRNA from 1 species